ACCCUCUCAGAUUUUCAGCUGGAGAGUUUCCAGUACUCUACCAGUUUUGACUAAGGGAGGGAGAGUCAAGCAGAGGCAUUCCCAUUCCAUCCCUAGCUCGGGCAGUGGCUAGUGAGUGGAAGGCAAUCUGCUACAUUU